rnacentral:rRNA from 1 species
AUUGAACGCUGGCGGCAUGCCUUACACAUGCAAGUCGAACGGCAGCACGGGGCAACCUGGUGGCGAGUGGCGAACGGGUGAGUAAUGCAUCGGAACGUACCUUUCAGUGGGGGAUAACGUAGCGAAAGUUACGCUAAUACCGCAUAUUCUGUGAGCAGGAAAGCAGGGGAUCGCAAGACCUUGCGCUGAUUGAGCGGCCGAUGUCAGAUUAGCUAGUUGGUGAGGUAAAGGCUCACCAAGGCGACGAUCUGUAGCGGGUCUGAGAGGAUGAUCCGCCACACUGGAACUGAGACACGGUCCAGACUCCUACGGGAGGCAGCAGUGGGGAAUUUUGGACAAUGGGGGCAACCCUGAUCCAGCCAUGCCGCGUGAGUGAAGAAGGCUUUCGGGUUGUAAAGUUCUUUCGGCCGGGAAGAAAUCGCACGGGCUAAUACCCUGUGUGGAUGACGGUACCGGAAUAAGAAGCACCGGCUAACUACGUGCCGGCCGCCGCCGUAAAAC